rnacentral:rRNA from 1 species
GACGACGCUGGCGGCGUGGAUUAGGCAUGCAAGUCGAACGGUAUCAUCCUUUCGGGGGUGAGAGAGUGGCGAACUGGUGAGUAACACGUAGGUUAUCUACCUCAAGACGGGACAACCCAGGGAAACUUGGGCUAAUACCGGAUGUGAGCAACUUUUAGUUGUUUGAAAGGUGGCGUAAGCUGUCGCUUGGGGAUGAGCCUGCGUCCUAUUAGUUAGUUGGUGAGGUAACGGCUCACCUAGGCAAUGAUAGGUAGGCGGCCUUAACGGGUGGUCGCCCACACUGGGAUUGAGAUACGGCCCAGACUCCUACGGGAGGCAGCAGUCGAGAAUAGUCUACAAUGGUCGGAAGACUGAUAGUGCGACGCCGCGUGAACGAUGAAUCCCUUCGGGGUGUAAAGUUCUUUUAUAUGUGAGCAGGCUUCUUAUAUUAACAGUAUGGGGAGAGAGAUAUUAGCAUAUGAAUAAGCAACGGCUAACUCCGUG